UUUUUCCUCAAAACGCAGACAGCAGACCCCUACCUUCCUCUCUCUUCUCUAUUUCUCUACUCUCUCCUUCCCCAAAACCUAACACUGAAAAUCAAUGCCUUCUUUUUCCUCAAAACGCAGACAGCAGACCCCUACCUUCCUCUCUCUUCUCUAUUUCUCUACUCUCUCCUUCCCCAAAACCUAACACUGAAAAUCAAUCCACACUUGAAUGAAGAACCUGUCACGCAGAAUCCUUCAGAAAGGGGUCUAGAUGAGAGAAUGGAUCCAAAUGGAAAAACAAGGUCUAUAAUGAAGCCUGGUGAUAUGUCUGUUAUAUAUGUCUGUGAAUUGCCUGAGAUUAAGGGGAAAUUUGACCCAGCCAAAGCUAUGUCUCUUGGUCUUAAACCUGGCCCAAAGUAUCGUGAACUGCAACUCGGAAAUUCAGUGAAGUCAGAUCACCAAAAUAUCACGGUUCAUCCUCCACCUUUGAGCGCUAACUACAGCCAUCAAAACUAGGCAGAUUGCAUCAGAUGGUUGAAUCAGAACUGACCAAUUUGGUAGCAUGUUUUUGGACUUCUCUUUUGGGUAGAGGGUGGAGUGGGGGAGAGCAACAACCCAAGUUCCAAUGACUCAAUUGCUACAGUUGUCACAAUCUUUGAGAUUUUUGAAGAACAAUGGACGGGCUACUGAGAAGAGAAUGCAAAGUGGAGGUCUCCACAAGCAGCUGUAUUACCUAUUUUCCAUCUUCCAAUGCACAGUUUGGAAGUUAAAAAUAGGUAAAUUAUCAAAUGACAUUUUCUCCAUAUAGAUGCAUUUUUCAUACAAAAUAUGUGGGCUGUUGUGUCAUCUGUAGUGCCUUGUGUUUAAUGUUUUAAAUGUCUGGUGUGUGAAUGUGUAGUGUACUUAUAGUUUGUCAGUGCUACAACUGCUAAUACUACUGCUACUACUGUUGCUAGAAUGCAACCAAGUGUUGUUCAUAAAUCACUGUUGUUUGAUACCCUUGCAACUUAUUGAAGCAUACAAAUAUAUAUGCAUUAUUUAAUCACACAUCCCUACAUUGUGCAAUGCUGGAAUGAAUUUUUUAGAAGUUUUCUACUUUUAUUUGUUAUUGGCCAGAAUUUGUGACUUUUUAAAAAUAAAUGGCAAAUAUGGUAGGCACCCCCAAGGUUUUUUCCCUUUUAACUCACACCCUUUUAAUUUUCAUUAUUAAAUACCCAUUUUUUCACAUAUUAUCUGUUUCCUUAUUUAUUUAUUUAGGGUUGUUUUUUUAGUUUGGAAGACCACACAGAUUUUGACUCUUUUUUUUUUUUUUCCCAUUUUGGAUUUUUUUUUUUUUUUUUUUUUUUUUGGAAGACUACACAAAUUUUGACAACACUACCAAGCCACAAAGCCUUUGUGAACUGCACUCAGGCAUGCCUUUAGUUUUGGUUUGGCAUAAACUUGAAACAAAUGCCAUAAAUAUCUAGAUUUGGGACUUUUGUAUUUUUAAUGUUUGAAUAAAACCAUAUAGUACAAUUUAAACAUGUUUCACAAAAUGAUAAUACCUUUUUGUGUGUGAAUAAUCUAUUUUGUUAUUUAUUUCUGAAUUUCAUGAUGAAAACCAAUGUAAUACUUAUUUUCAUGAAGAUUAUAGACAUAUCGAACUUUUUUAAUCAUUCAAUAGUUGGGGUGGGGUUAUUAUGAAAUUUAUUGACAUUAAGAGUGUUUGGUUAUACAUUGUAAAUCUUUGAUGAAUUGGUAUAAUUUGGUGUUAUACUUGAUACUAAUUUGGCGGAAAAUUAAGUAGCUUGAAGAAGUUGAGAAAAGAGAAGAGCCUAAGAAAGGGAGGAAAUAGAUUGUUGAAAAGUAUUGGAUAAAAGCUUGAAGAUGUAAGCACAAUUGUAUAUUUAUUCUAUUUUAGGUUCUUUUGUAAUACUUAUUAAACCAAAUGUAAAAGCACAUUAUGAUUAUUGUAAUAUAGUACUUCAUAAUAUUGUAUUUAUCUCAUUUUUAAUGA